rnacentral:rRNA from 1 species
CCUACGGGUGGCAGCAGUGGGGAAUAUUGGGCAAUGGGCGCAAGCCUGACCCAGCAACGCCGCGUGAAGGAAGAAGGCUUUCGGGUUGUAAACUUCUUUUCUGAGGGACGAAGAAAGUGCCGUUACCUCCGGAUUAAGCCACGGCUAACUACGUGCCAGCAGCCGCGGUAAUACGUAGGUGGCAAGCGUUAUCCGGAUUUAUUGGGGGUAAAGGGCGUGUAGGCGGGCUAACAAGUCAGAUGUGAAACCUCAGGGCUCAACCCUGAGCCUGCAUUUGAAACUGUUGGUCUUGAGUGCUGGAGAGGCAAGCGGAAUUCCGAGUGUAGCGGUGAAAUGCGUAGAUAUAAGGAGGAACACCAGUGGCGAAGGCGGAUUGCUGGACAGUAACUGACGGUGAGGCGCGAAAGCGUGGGGAGCAAACAGGAUUAGAUACCCCGGUAGUC